UGGUUUGUCGCGUUGUUCGUGAAAUCUCACGGCUUAACUGUGAGCGUGCGGGCGAUACGGGCAGACUUGAGUACUGCAGGGGAGACUGGAAUUCCUGGUGUAGCGGUGGAAUGCGCAGAUAUCAGGAGGAACACCGGUGGCGAAGGCGGGUCUCUGGGCAGUAACUGACGCUGAGGAGCGAAAGCGUGGGGAGCGAACAGGAUUAGAUACCCUGGUAGUCCACGCCGUAAACGGUGGGUACUAGGUGUGGGUUUCCUUCCUUGGGAUCCGUGCCGUAGCUAACGCAUUAAGUACCCCGCCUGGGGAGUACGGCCGCAAGGCUAAAACUCAAAGAAAUUGACGGGGGCCCGCACAAGCGGCGGAGCAUGUGGAUUAAUUCGAUGCAACGCGAAGAACCUUACCUGGGUUUGACAUGCACAGGACGCCGGCAGAGAUGUCGGUUCCCUUGUGGCCUGUGUGCAGGUGGUGCAUGGCUGUCGUCAGCUCGUGUCGUGAGAUGUUGGGUUAAGUCCCGCAACGAGCGCAACCCUUGUCUCAUGUUGCCAGCGGGUAAUGCCGGGGACUCGUGAGAGACUGCCGGGGUCAACUCGGAGGAAGGUGGGGAUGACGUCAAGUCAUCAUGCCCCUUAUGUCCAGGGCUUCACACAUGCUACAAUGGCCGGUACAAAGGGCUGCGAUGCCGCGAGGUUAAGCGAAUCCUUUUAAAGCCGGUCUCAGUUCGGAUCGGGGUCUGCAACUCGACCCCGUGAAGUCGGAGUCGCUAGUAAUCGCAGA
rnacentral:rRNA from 1 species